rnacentral:rRNA from 1 species
UGAGGAAUAUUGGGCAAUGCCCGCAAGGGUGACCCAGCAACGCCGCGUGGAGGAUGAAUGUCGUAAGAUUGUAAACUCCUGUUAGAGGGGAAGAAUAGUACCGGUUGGACCGGUAUAUGACUGUACCCUCAGAGAAAGCCCCGGCUAACUACGUGCCAGCAGCCGCGGUAAUACGUAGGGGGCAAGCGUUGUCCGGAUUUACUGGGUGUAAAGGGCGCGCAGGCGGGAUAAAAAGUCAGUGGUGAAAUCCUACAGCUUAACUGUAGAACUGCCUUUGAUACUUUUAUUCUUGAGUUCGGGAGAGAGAGACGGAAUUCCAGGUGUAGUGGUGAAAUACGUAGAUAUCUGGAAGCACACCAGUUGCGAAGGCGGUCUCUUGGUCCGACACUGACGCUGAGGCGCGAAAGCGUGGGGAGCAAUCA